rnacentral:pre_miRNA from 1 species
AAUACCUCAGUCUUAUCAGGUGUUCUUUCAAUUCACCUGGCAAUACUGAGGUUGUGU